rnacentral:rRNA from 1 species
AUGAACGCUGGCGGCGUGCUUCACACAUGCAAGUCGAACGGAAAGGCCCAAGCUUGCUUGGGUACUCGAGUGGCGAACGGGUGAGUAACACGUGGGUGAUCUGCCCUGCACUUCGGGAUAAGCCUGGGAAACUGGGUCUAAUACCGGAUAGGACCACUUCUUGGAUGUUGUGGUGGAAAGUUUUCUCGGUGUGGGAUGAGCUCGCGGCCUAUCAGCUUGUUGGUGGGGUAAUGGCCUACCAAGGCGUCGACGGGUAGCCGGCCUGAGAGGGUGUACGGCCACAUUGGGACUGAGAUACGGCCCAGACUCCUACGGGAGGCAGCAGUGGGGAAUAUUGCACAAUGGGCGCAAGCCUGAUGCAGCGACGCCGCGUGGGGGAUGACGGCCUUCGGGUUGUAAACUCCUUUCGCUAGGGACGAAGCGUUUUUGUGACGGUACCUGGAGAAGAAGCACCGGCUAACUACGUG